rnacentral:lncRNA from 1 species
AUUCCCAGCAACCACAUGGUGGCUCACAAACAUCUGUAAUGGGAUCUGAUGCAAUCUUUUGAUGUGUGUCUGAGGACAGUGACAGUGUACUCAUAUAAAGAAUAUGAUUAAAACAUAUUGUAUGAAAAAAAUUAAUAAAUAAAAGUAGUUAGGUAGAGUGGCACAUGUCCUUAAUCUCUGCACUUGUAGCAGAGGCCUGAAGAUCUCUGUGAAUUUGAAGUAAGCCUUAUCUAUAUAGCAGUUAGGAGGCCAGACAGCCACAUAGAAAAAAACCCUGAUAAUCUAUUUAGAAAAAAAAUAAAAGCAAUAACCAAAAGGGAAAAAGAAGAGAGAGGGGGUGUGGCAGGUUCUCAAACACGGCCUGCCCCAUGACCAGGAAUUUAGAUCUCCGAGCCAAUCAGGGGUCAGGAUUGAGAGAAAGAGAGAGAGAGAGAGAGAGAGAGAGAGAGAGAGAGAGAGAGAGAGAGAGAGAUUCCUAUUUUGAAUACCCAAGACUGUGGAUUUUAGACAUACACCCACCCCACCAUUCCUUCCUUCCUUCCUUCCUUCCUUCCUUCCUUCCUUCCUUCCUUCCUUCCUUCCUUAUCCCUUUCCUCAAGGCUCUGUUAUACUUUGAUCUGGUGCAGGCCAUGGGGCACAGGCGUGAGGGAUGCCACUGCAGUCAUGGAUGCUGGACAACCCCCACCCCGAGCCUCCCACCUCACCAGCUUACAUGGCACUCAUUGACAAACAUUGAUAGGCAAUAAAGUACACCCUUCCCUUUUGGGGACAGCAUGUUCAAUGAGUCUGAGUACACCUUUUAUCGGAUGUGGUGGCCCAAGCCUGUGAUCCCAGCCCUGAGGCUGCAGAGACAGGAGGAUAAAGAGUAUAAGGCCUGCAUGGGGAGACCACAGUUCAAAACCAAACACAUGUGAGGCCCUGGUGUCCAUCCCCCGCACCACACAUAUUCAAAAUAAAUAAAUUAAAACAAGCCCCCACCCCCAUGUGUGUGUGCUGAGGACACAGCUCAGCUGGUAGAGUGCUCAGCUAGCAUGUAUGAAGCCAUGAUUUUGGUCCUUAACAAACAUGACAGAGUAUGCCUGUAAUCCCAGGCCUUGCAAGGCUGGGUGGGGGUAAGGCCGUUGACAGCUACACUGGGGAUUCGAGUCAUACCUAGGAUAUAUGAGAUCCUACCACAAACCAGCAAAUCACAUGAGUGCACCGCAGAUACAAAAGUGUAUUUCUGAGUGUAGGUCAAGUUCAGAGAUACCAGCGUAGCCCUGCUUUUGACGUAUUAAAUGAGAUGCUUCUGGAAGUCAUUAAAUGCAGCGUCUGACACGAAGGCCUAAUCAGUAUUUGCUGUUGUCAUUAGUAGGACUAAUUUGGAGCAGUGUGUUUGCUCAGGGCCUCGCAGGGAAGUAUCUGGGAGGGGGACAGGCUCCUGCCUUGUGCCUAAAGUUCCUUCUGGGCCCCUCUCUCACCACCCAGUGACCUCCAGCCACUAACAGCAGACCAGACUGGCUGGAAUAUUCCUCUAGGAAGGAAUUAAGUAUGAGAUGGGUGGAAAAUCUGACUGGGUAGAGAGCUGUGUGGAGCCAGGUCUCAGCCCCUCUCAGAAACAUCUCCAACACCCACCAUCCUGUCACUCCAAACACGAGGGUUAAUGUCAAGAGCCAUCAUCAAAUAAAGCAAAGUGGUAAAGGCCUGGUGUUUCAGAUCUGUCAUCCCAGCACUCGGGAGGCAGAGGCAGG